GAGCAGCUGGGAAGGGGUAUGAAAAUGAAGACAACUAUGCCAACAUUCGCUUCAGAUUCAUGGGCAUUGAGAACAUCCAUGUAAUGCGGAGCAGUCUGCAGAAACUCUUGGAAGUUUGUGAAUUGAAAACUCCAACAAUGAGUGAAUUUCUUAGCGGCCUGGAGAGCUCAGGGUGGUUAAGACACAUUAAAGCUAUUAUGGAUGCUGGAAUUUUCAUUACAAAGGCAGUGAAGGUAGAAAAGGCCAGUGUCUUAGUCCAUUGUUCUGAUGGAUGGGACCGCACAGCACAAGUCUGCUCAGUGGCUAGCAUCCUCCUAGAUCCAUUUUAUAGGACAUUCAAAGGACUCAUGGUGUGGCCACCUCGAUGGGGACUCUAAAGAAGUGUCCCCUAUCUUCACCCAGUUCCUAGACUGUAUCUGGCAAUUAAUGGAACAGUUUCCCUGUGCCUUUGAGUUUAAUGAAAACUUCCUGCUGGAGAUUCAUGACCAUGUUUUCUCCUGCCAGUUUGGAAACUUCCUUGGUAACUGCCAGAAGGAUCGGGAAGAUCUAAGGUGAAUUUACUUUGUGAGAAGACACUGAACAGGGAGAAGGGGGUCAGUGCAAAAAGAAUGUACCUACCACCCUGAAUUUGGCAUAGCAGUCAAGAAAGGGGAGGAGAUAACAAUAAUAAAAAGAACUUUUGAAGCAUAAAGCA
rnacentral:sRNA from 1 species